CCUACGGGUGGCAGCAGUGAGGAAUAUUGGUCAAUGGGCGCGAGCCUGAACCAGCCAAGUCGCGUGAGGGGUGACUGCCCUACGGGUUGUAAACCUCUUUUAUAAAGGAGUAAAGUGAGGCACGUGUGCCUUUUUGUGUGUACUUUAUGAAUAAGGAUCGGCUAACUCCGUGCCAGCAGCCGCGGUAAUACGGAGGAUGCGAGCGUUAUCCGGAUUUAUUGGGUUUAAAGGGAGCGUAGGUGGGGUGUUAAGUCAGUUGUUAAAGUUUGGGGCUCAACCCUAGAAUUGCAGUUGAGACUGGCAGUCUUGAGUACAGGUGAGGUAGGCGGAAUGCGUGGUGUAGCGGUGAAAUGCUUAGAUAUCACGAAGAACUCCGAUUGCGAAGGCAGCUUAC
rnacentral:rRNA from 1 species